rnacentral:rRNA from 1 species
UAACACGUAAGCAACCUGCCUAUCAGAGGGGAACAACAGUUAGAAAUGACUGCUAAUACCGCAUAUGCCUUAGCAACACAUGUUGCAAAAGGGAAAGGAGCAAUCCGCUGAUAGAUGGGCUUGCGUCUGAUUAGAUAGUUGGUGGGGUAACGGCCUACCAAGUCGACGAUCAGUAGCCGGACUGAGAGGUUGAACGGCCACAUUGGGACUGAGAUACGGCCCAGACUCCUACGGGAGGCAGCAGUCGGGAAUAUUGCGCAAUGGAGGAAACUCUGACGCAGUGACGCCGCGUGCAGGAAGAAGGUUUUCGGAUUGUAAACUGCUUUAGACAGGGAAGAAAAAAGACAGUACCUGUAGAAUAAGCUCCGGCUAACUACGUGCCAGCAGCCGCGGUAAUACGUAGGGAGCAAGCGUUAUCCGGAUUUAUUGGGUGUAAAGGGUGCGUAGACGGAGAAGCAAGUUAGUUGUGAAAUCCCUCGGCUUAACUGAGGAACUGCAACUAAAACUACUUCCCUUGAGUACUGGAGAGGAAAGUGGAAUUCCUAGUGUAGCGGUGAAAUGCGUAGAUAUUAGGAGGAACACCAGUGGCGAAGGCGACUUUCUGGACAGUAACUGACGUUGAGGCACGAAAGUGUGGGGAGCAAACAGGAUUAGAUACCCUGGUAGU